UUGUAAUCCGGAGGUCGCGGGUUCAAACCCCGGCUCGUACCAUUGUUUUUCGGAACUUAUGUACGAAAUAUCAUUUGAUAUUUACCAGUCGCUUUUCGGUGAAGGAAAACAUCGUGAGGAAACCGGAUUAAUCCCAACAAGGAUUAGUUUACCCUCUGGGUUGGAAGGUCAGAUGGCAUCAGUCACUUUCGUAAAAACUAGUGCCUACGCCAAAUCUUGGGAUUAGUUGUCAAGCUGAACCCAGGCACCCAUGAGCCGUGGCAAAAUGCCGGGACAACGCGAAGAAGAAAAGGCUGUUAUAUUCUUAAACUGACUUUGGGUUAGGGUAACUACCAUAAUCAUGAAUAUCUAGAACAUUUGUAGUUCUGAAUAAAAAACGGUUAAACUACAUUUGAGAUUAAAUGUUAAACCAUGCUUAAAUGAGCCUGGGAACACAAUUUGUUAUAAUCUCGAUGUUUUGAUUAAGUAGGUAUGUCUGCAAUUUAGUUCACCAAUCCCUUUUGGCGAGCGCGGUUUAUUUACUCGCUUACCGUAAAUAACAACAAGGUUAUUAUGUUCGGACGUUUGUGCAACGGAGCGCGCGCCGCCGCCAGGGCGUCGGCACUUGGGCAGGUGCAUUUAGCUCCCUUGCUGCCUGUUGCCUGAGCCUACUGGUUUAGUCGCUUUGCAACACAGACACACCAAGUUCAAAGAGUUCACGUUAACCUGUAGCUCUUUAGAUUCCCGACCAAUUUAAUGUGUCGCAUUAUAGAGCUACGAGUAAUACUUACUCUUGUCUUGUGUUUACCGCAAACCCUCUUUUUGUUAGUGUUCUUUUUAAUCUGUUCCUUGUUAAUUGUUGCUAUUUCCUGUUUGUAACAUACCUUUUAAUUUAAGUUGUCACUCAAACAAUUCGUGACAAUGUCAUGAUACGCGCAGACGUCCUACUAUUGUCGUAUAGAAUAUAAUUAUGUAAGUGUCUCAGAGGUCAGCGGGAAUACAAUGGCGGGUGACCCUCAUUGAAUUUAUUUAUUGGCUCUACCCCACAUGAAGAAAAUCCGUUUCCUCUGCAGGUUUUGUGAGGGAAUAUCAUUCGAUCUACCGUACUCUCCCUCGUCUUAACGUUUCCGGGAUGUAUCAGACCUUCGGAUCUAUCAGAGGUGUGUACAAAAUGAAAUCCAGUUGACAGUUUAUUUUUGGUCGUCAGUAGUUACUACCUAAUAUGGGAACAUUUUGUUACAAGGUCUGCCCAUCUUAUUGGAUAUCGCUUGCCUUCUACAGCGUGAUUCAUAACUCGUGAUAAAAAAUACGAUUUUAUUACUAAAUUUUAAUACUAGUAUUACAAAAGUAAGAAUAUCCAAAAA